GGCUCGUUGGUCAAGGGGUCAAGACGCCGCCCUCUCACGGCGGAAUCAGGGGUUCGAGUCCCCUACGAGCUG
rnacentral:tRNA from 1 species